GAAGGAUCAUUACCGAGUGCGGGAACCCAGUCGGGUCCCAAUCUCCCACCCGUGUCUACCACACCUAGUGUUGCUUUGGCGGGCCCACUCCUCCGGUGUUCCGCCGGGGGGGUCGUCCCGGGGCGCGGUGUGCCCCCGGGGCCCGUGCCCGCCAGAGGCACUCACUGUGAACGCUUUUGUGAAUGCGAGGAUUGUCUGAGUGACGAAAUGCAAUCGUUCAAAACUUUCAACAAUGGAUCUCUUGGUUCCGGCAUCGAUGAAGAACGCAGCGAAAUGCGAUAAGUAAUGUGAAUUGCAGAAUUCCGUGAGUCAUCGAAUCUUUGAACGCACAUUGCGCCCUCUGGUAUUCCGGGGGGCAUGCCUGUCCGAGCGUCAUUGCGAACCCUCAAGCACGGCUUGUGUGUUGGGCCGCCGUCCCCUCGUUUGGAGGGGACGGGCCUGAAAGGCAGCGGCGGCGUCGCGUCCGGUCCUCGAGCGUAUGGGGCUCUGUCACGCGCUCAAGGAGGGGUCCGGCCGGGGCCAUAGCCUCUGAAGGUCAAUUCUUCCAAGGUUGACCUCGGAUCAGGUAGGAGUACCCGCUGAACUUAA
rnacentral:rRNA from 1 species